UACAGAGGGUGCAAGCGUUGUUCGGAAUUACUGGGCGUAAAGCGCGCGCAGGCGGGAUGGCAAGUCGGAUGUGAAAGCCCUCGGCUCAACCGGGGAAGUGCAUUCGAAACUGCUGUUCUUGAGUGUCGGAGAGGGUGGUGGAAUUCCCGGUGUAGAGGUGAAAUUCGUAGAUAUCGGGAGGAACAUCAGUGGCGAAGGCGGCCAUCUGGAUCAACACUGACGCUGAAGCACGAAAGCGUGGGGAGCAAACAGG
rnacentral:rRNA from 1 species